rnacentral:rRNA from 1 species
AACGAACGCUGGCGGCGUGCCUAACACAUGCAAGUCGAACGGGAUUAGGGGCUUGCUCCUAAUCUAGUGGCGCACGGGUGAGUAAUGCGUAGAUAAUCUGCCUGAUGAUCCGGGAUAACACUUCGAAAGAGGUGCUAAUACCGGAUAAGCCCACGGGUUCUUUGGAAUUUGCGGGAAACGGGGGGGACCUUCGGGCCAUCUGUCCUCAGAUGAGUCUGCGUACCUGUAGCUAGUUGUUAGGGUAAAGGCCUACCAAGGCGACUAUGGUUAGCUUGUCUGAGAGGAUUAUCAGCCACACUGGGACUGAGACACGUUCCAGACUCCUACGGGAGGCAGCAGUGGGGAAUUUUGCGCAAUGGGCGAAAGCCUGACGCAGCAACGCCGCGUGAGUGAUGAAGGCUUUCGGGUCGUAAAGCUCUGUCAAUGGGAAAGAAGUGUACGAGGGCUAAUAUCCUUUGUACUUGACGGUACCCAUAAAGGAAGCACCGGCUAACUCCGUGCCAGCCGCCGCGGUAAAAC